AUUGAACGCUGGCGGCAGGCCUAACACAUGCAAGUCGAACGGUAACAGGAAGCAGCUUGCUGCUUCGCUGACGAGUGGCGGACGGGUGAGUAAUGUCUGGGAAACUGCCUGAUGGAGGGGGAUAACUACUGGAAACGGUAGCUAAUACCGCAUAACGUCGCAAGACCAAAGAGGGGGACCUUCGGGCCUCUUGCCAUCGGAUGUGCCCAGAUGGGAUUAGCUAGUAGGUGGGGUAACGGCUCACCUAGGCGACGAUCCCUAGCUGGUCUGAGGGGAUGACCAGCCACACUGGAACUGAGACACGGUCCAGACUCCUACGGGAGGCAGCAGUGGGGAAUAUUGCACAAUGGGCGCAAGCCUGAUGCAGCCAUGCCGCGUGUAUGAAGAGGGCCUUCGGGUUGUAAAGUACUUUCAGCGGGGAGGAAGGCGAUAAGGUUAAUAACCUUGUCGAUUGACGUUACCCGCAGAAGAAGCGCCGGCUAACUCCGUGCCAGCCGCCGUAACAC
rnacentral:rRNA from 1 species